GAACCAAAAGCACGGUUAAGGCGCCUAACUGGACGGCGAUGAGAGACCAUGAAAGGUGUUGGUCGAUAGAGACAGCAGGACGGUGGCCCUGGGAGUAGGCAUCCGCUAAGGAGUGUGUAACAACUCACCUGCCGAAUCGACCAGCCCUGAAAAUGGAUGGCGCUGGACCGUCCGGCCGAUACCGUGCCGUUCAGGCAUUAAAGAGCCCUCUCUUUAGCGGGAAUCAUGUCUGGACGAGUAGGAGGGGCGCCGAGGUAGCGCAGAAGCUUGCGGCGUGAGCCGGAGUGGAGCUGCCCCGGGUGCAGAUCUUGGUGGUAGUAGCAAAUAUUCUGAUGAGAACUUAGAAGGCUGAAGUGGAGAAGGGUUCCAUGUGAACAGCGUUUGAACAUGGGUGAGUCGGUCCUAAGAGCUAGGAGAAGUCCGAUUAUUCCACAGUGGGGGAAAGCGGUCAUGAAUGCAUGUAAAUAGUGACGGUAUAAGCGGCUGUAUCGUGCUGUUCCUUCGGGAGCGAGGGGUAGAGAUAACCGGGCUGGUUCCCGGUGCCGAAUCGGGCUGGUCCCGAUAGGUGCUUUUGCCCACGUAUCCGAGAGGCGUAACAGGGUAGAGAUAGUUGUAGGGACUCUCCAGUUGUCGACUUGACCGUCGGCGGCUGGGGAGUCUUUUCAGCGAUGGCUUUUUCCCAGCUUCGUCUCGCGGUGCGGCGCGCUGGGCGUCUUUGUCGUGGAUGGGACGCCCAGGGGUCUAGCAGGCGCUUUAGCUGGGGAAAAUGACUGACCGCCCCCCGAGCUCGAAAGGGAAUCAGGUUAAUAUUCCUGAACCCGGCAUGCGAGAUGGGAUUGGGUCUGGCGACCCCUCGCUCUUGCCCGAUUUUCGGGCGAGAGGGUCCCGGUGCGGCAACGCAAACGACGUCGGAGACGCCGAUCAGAGUACCGGAAAGAGUUCUCUUUUCUUUGUAAGGGUCCCUAGUCCCUGGAAAUGCGUCAAGUAGCGAAAGGGACAAGGGGUGGCUACCCGGCCAGUCCCGAAAAGCAUCGCAAGUCCCCCGCGGUGUCCGGUGCGCUCUGACCGACCCC
rnacentral:rRNA from 1 species